rnacentral:rRNA from 1 species
UGACCUCAGCUCAGUCGUGACUACCCGCUGAAUUUAAGCAUAUAACUA